UACAGAGGUCUCAAGCGUUGUUCGGAUUCAUUGGGCGUAAAGGGUGCGUAGGUGGCGCCGUAAGUCGGGUGUGAAAUUUCGGAGCUUAACUCCGAAACUGCAUUCGAUACUGCGGUGCUUGAGGACUGGAGAGGAGACUGGAAUUCAUGGUGUAGCAGUGAAAUGCGUAGAGAUCAUGAGGAAGACCAGUGGCGAAGGCGGGUCUCUGGGCCGAUACUGACGCUGAGGAGCGAAAGCGUGGGGGAGCGAACAGG
rnacentral:rRNA from 1 species